UUUUAAAUCUCGGCCUCUAAGAUCAACAAAAAUGAAAUGUCUCACUGAGGACUCAGACGUAGGAUUGCCUUCUCUGAAUUUUGAGUAGGUCUCACCUAAGAAUGUCUCUCUACGUUUGUACUAGCUGGGCGGAAGUUCGUUCUAGGAAACACCUUGGAACUGCCAUUUCUGACCUUUAUUCCUCUUCCGGAAACUUCGAGUUGGAGUCUAGGUUGGGUUGGCCUGAGUGGGGGAGUAGACGCCUCUGGGCGGUUCAGGGUCAGCACUGUUAGGUGGUUGAGACUCAAACGUGUGCUAAAGGAGUGGGACUUGUGGCAUUUGCUCAAAAGCUAAGACUCCCAGGAAGAGGAAAAUAAAAAGCAAUCUCUACACCCAGUGUGAGGCUUGAACUUGGGUCCUGGAGAUCAAGAGUCACAAGCUCUACUGACUGAGCCAGCUAGGCCUCUUGGUUCUAUUUCUGUUCCCUCCUGUCUCAGAUUUUAUUUUUAAGUAAUCUCUAUACCCAAGGUAGGGCUCAAACUUAACAACCCCGAGAUGAAGAGUCACAUGCUCUACCAACAGUGCCGGCAUGUUCUUCUUGAAGAAGAAAAUUCACUGUGUUUUCAGGAGUUGGAAGGAUCAUCAAUUUUAACAUUAAUCUCUACUAUGGGAUACUGAAGAAAAUGACGAACAAGAGACUGGUUUACGAAAAUAAAUGACCCUGGGUCAUAUCCUGAAAACGGUUUGAUUUCUUUAAAUAACCUGAUAUAAACUUGCUUUGUAAGCACCUACAACUCAGGACAAGACAAAGGAAGAUUCUAGUUAGUAAAGAAUUCCCUAGUGAACUGAGGAUUUAGUAGAGUUACAUCACUUCUAAAGAUUUUUAGUUUUAAAAACCCACAGAAAUAGAAGGAAAAGGAAC